rnacentral:lncRNA from 1 species
GCACAUCCGCCACUGUGGACGGGUCCAUUGCUGCCACAUAACGCCAUCGCCACCGAAAUUCUCGAUGGAAGCUACGACUGCCGUGGAGCUGCUGCAACAAGGCUGUGGCGAGCUUCGUUAUCAUGCGGAGGAGGAGCCAGGACAGGUCUCCACCGUGCGCCAGGCAGUGUCUGGAGCGUCGUCGGUCAGGCAGUCAUCGUCCGCUGCGACCUUGAGGGUGUCCGGCGGGAGAUCAUGGACUGGAGGAAAGCACCUGGAAAGGAGUCACUCACUUCCCGUACCGGAGCAACCCAUGAGGGGCAGGUUUCAGAGCUUCCACGCCAGAUUUGCGGCGCUUCACUGAUCCACCCAUCCGCCCACCCGCCGAAGUCGGUGAUUCUGCCCACUUGAAUCUCUGCCCUUUCGUCGUCGUGGUCUUCCUCUCCCUCUCCCUUCUCUACCAUGCCUUUCUCCUCGUGUAGCACUCUGCGUUGCUUCCGGGAAAGCCUUCCAUUAUACAAACGCAUUUCUCAUAACUUCCUUGUUCCUGUUUGGUACCCCAUUUGUUUGUUUGUUGGGUAUAUAUAUACACAUACAUACAUAUGAUCCAGGAGUCAUGAUCCCCAGGUUUUUCCUGACACUAGGAACUGCAUCAGUCUAAGAUUAUAACAACAUAAUAAUAUGAGAAACAUGAGAAAGCCUACCUCAUGUGUCAGCACAUACAUCAGUGUUUCAUACAAAUAAGAAGGGGUCACACAUUCAUCUAUUCUUUAUUGUUGUUAGUUUAUUUGUUUGUGAACAUGUAUACCUGCAGGGGUCAACUUAUUUGGGGGGUUGCAAGGAAACAUGGCCAUUCCAUAGUGAGGGGGGGUCCCUUUAUAUGGCCAAGACUGUCCUUGCUGUUGGGAGCCCCACUGCAGAUGCCCCCUCCUGCCUCCUCUAUUAUCACCAUUGUAAUUCAUACUGCCUCUACUUCUACUGCUGUUGUUAUGGUGGUGGUGGUGGUGAGUAAAUGAAUUUCAUGCUUUGACUUCUUCUGAGGCAUUGUUAUUAAGGAGCUGAGCUUGAAUGGCACAAAUCACAUCUUAAAUGUUUCCAUUCCUUGAACAAAAAUAGAUGGGAGAAAGGGCAGAGGGGGAUGCUAAUUAGAGUGGGCUUACACCUAGCCAUAUGCAGAGAAACAAUCCAUGAUGUUGGAUAAUUUGUGUAGUAAACCCAUGAUUCUUCACCAAUAAGACUGAUAUUUGUUGUUGUUGGGUUUCUUAUUGUAGGUUUUUCUAAAACAUUCACAAAAAUGCAUGCAAGACACCCUAUUGGGUCCACUUCAUGACUCUCCUAUCUUAAUCCAUUUUUGAUGAUAUAAAUGUUUGCAGUUUCUGUUUCUUUGUUUCAUGAACCACUUUAUGCCUUUUCCACUUACAACAAAUAAAUAAGCAUACAGGAAGAGAUAUGGAUGUGUGUAUAUAUAUAUAUAUAUAUAAAUUACCCUCAUUAUUUGAGAGACCUUCAAGCCCAGCAUCACCAAUGAAUGAAUGAAGGAAGAGAAAGUGGAGAGAUAAAUAGUGGAUGGAUUAAUUCAAGGGAACAAAAGGGGACACCCUCACAACUAUGUUUGCAGGUCUGUGUGAAUGAGUGUGUACAUGUGUUUUU